GUGGUUAGCACGGCUGCCUGUAACCCAGAGGUAAUGGGUUCAAGGCUCGUCGCUGCUAC
rnacentral:miRNA from 1 species